AUACGGAGGGUGCGAGCGUUAAUCGGAAUUACUGGGCGUAAAGCGUCCGUAGGCGGCCUGUUAAGUCUGAUGUGAAAGCCCUGGGCUUAACCUGGGAACGGCAUUGGAUACUGGUGGGCUAGAGUCCGGUAGAGGGUGGUGGAAUUCCCGGUGUAGCGGUGAAAUGCGUAGAGAUCGGGAGGAACACCGGUGGCGAAGGCGGCCACCUGGACCGAGACUGACGCUGAGGGACGAAAGCGUGGGGAGCGAACAGGAUUAGAUACCCUGGUAGUCCACGCCCUAAACGAUGUCGACUGGCCGUUGGAGGGGAAACCCUUUAGUGGCGAAGCUAACGCGUUAAGUCGACCGCCUGGGGAGUACGGCCGCAAGGUUAAA
rnacentral:rRNA from 1 species